rnacentral:pre_miRNA from 1 species
AGCUUUUUGAAUCCGUGCACAGAUUUCGUCAGACACCAACCCACUAGGACUAAUCAGACUACCAAGAUAAGUGAAGUU